UUUGGGCAAGACGCAAUCCACAUCCUAAAGAUUAGUAGGUAAGGGCCUGUUUGGCCGGGCAGAUCCGGUGGAAUUAGGAGGGAUGGGAUUGCGAUAUCCCACCCGCCCAUCCCAUGGGUAUGUUUGGGCAGGUCUAUAACCGGUGGAUGCCUGCUAUCCCACAAUAUCAUUUUCACGGUUGCGAGGGAUGCGAGAUCUCUCCAUGGGAUUCGCUGCCAUUCCGCAGGCUUCCUCGAGCCGAUCCCACAGCGAUUUCUCCCAUCCCGUCGUACGGAACAACGGGAUGAAGGCGACCAAGUUGUCAUUGAGGAGAGAAGAAGAUGGCGAGAGAGAAAAUAAUGGCGCGAACGGGUCGCGCCAACGGAUUUGGGAGUUCAGGUUACGGGAUCUACUACCUAGAUAUUCAGAAAUUCAUCACACACGACCUACCUACAACUGAUAUCCAGGUGAGAUGGCGGACCUAAGGUCUAACGAUAGUUCGACUCCGACGCAAUCACCGGUUAGGACACCUGUGAUGCCAACUCGAAGUUCGCCACGUGGGAAGACCGUCAAAUCCCUCGCUGAGCCACUGUCUCGAGCGGCUAAAAUCAAACAGAGUGUCGAAAUGGAUCAAGUUCUUUUCGACGUGCUGUUAGAACAGGUUGCACUGGUACGUAAGGCGGAUAAUGGUUUCAAGAGGGAAGCCUACCAAACAGCCGCAGAAGAGGUCACGAAGCAUACGGACAUACCCAUCAACUAGAAAAAUGUUCAGAAUUGGCUCAGGUAUUACAAGCGCGAAUAUAUAUCCGUCAAGGACAUGCUGACAACUAGUGGGUUUGGAUAGGACAGUGAACGCAUGGUGGUUACGGCCCCGGAUGAGGUCUGGGAGGAAUACCUGAAGGUAUGAUUUAUACAGCAUGUGUAUUUCAAAACACUAAACAAACCCAUCUCUUAUAUGAAUUUUUAUGAAACUCACAUCUUUACUUUAUGGAUCCAGUCUCACCCGCGAGCUACACAUCUCCACAGAAAAAGAAUUGAUCAAAUGAAUGACCUUGCAGUUAUUGUCGGAUCCGAUUAGGCAACAGGAUGCUAUAUGCAGGGAAAUAAGACUAUGGCCACGUCAUCCUCUUGGAUUCAGUGAGAUCUCAGAGAGGCUUGGAGAUACGCUAAAGAUGAUUUUGAGGAUACCAUUGACCUCUCCGAGGACCACGUAGCGGACUCGUCAGGCGGGAAUUUUUCGUCGGAGACUCCAUCGAUUGUAAGACGCGGAACCUGUAGCACUCCUCCCUGGACUCCUGAUUCUGAUAGUAGCCGAGGUGUUUCUGUAGCGAAGAAACGUAUGCAGCCUCCUCGUCCUUACAAUGUUCUUGGCACCUCUCUUAAUGCCGUUGCAGAGGCUAUACGUGAUUUUGGCCUAGGCAAAUAAGUCAAUCAUACUAGUAAGGUACUUGACGUUCUUGAAGAGGUGCAUGGGUUGACCAACUCAGAGUUUAUCGAAGUUGGUCAGCUCUUGAGUAGUGACAAGAAGCUGGCAUCAUUCUUUGUCAGUCUCCGACCGGAGAGGCUCAUCGAGUGGUUGAAGAAAACACUCCGCGAGAACUUUGGUAAUGCAGGAGUUGGGUCGGUCUGACAUGCUAGUGCCCGUCGUUCCUCUAAUAUGUUAAUUUGUGGGACUGUAAUAACUUUAUUUUUACGUUGGUGAUUGUUAUACUUUUCUCUCUUUCAAAUUACAAAUAUUUAGGGAUUGAUAAAAUUGGUAUACAUGGUAUACCAAUUUGAAUGCUGUCAGAUAUACUUUUAUUUUGUGCUUUAAUAUAUUUUAUAUAUGUUUGCUUCCAAAUGCUUGUUGCUGAGCACAGUAAUAUAGGUAUAGCCACACACAUCGAACAGUAUGUACUAUCAGUUAUUUGUUAUCAAAAUCAUCGGAUACUACGUUAUUUGUCCACGGGACAAUUUACUCUAAUUACUAAACGCACAUUAAGACCACGCUGCACCAAUCUCAUGCCAAUAGUAUGUCAUGUGUCAAUGCAGAUGGCAAAAGAGAAGUACUACGUGGUUCUCGUUGGCUGUUGACCGGGAAUUUACCUGACGUGGGACGAAGCUAGGCUCGAGGUCGAGGGAUUCAGUGGAUCGAGACAUCGGGCAUUCAAGAAUUGGAGGGAGGCGGUUUCCUGCUGGGAGAGUUACUUCGGUGGAAAGACUGCACAGUUGCGGCCUGACACCAGACCUUCGGCGAUUCAAGUCGUUGCACAUUCAGACGAGGUUGACAUCCUUCGUUUGUCAACUUCGUCUAUCCAUCGAACAACCGUGGCCAUGGUUUCUAUGGCCACAACGACUGAUGAUCUGGUCCCAUCAUGUGGGGAUAGUGUUAUUGAACUUUUGAUUACCAUUCUCGUUGUUUUCUUUGCGCUACUUAUCAUUAUCAAAUUCUAGCUGUAGAGGAUGUGUAAGUGAAAGAAUCCUUUAGAUUUUCCUUUAAAAAAAUGUUUUUCAUCAUUUUUUUUUAUUUAAUGUUUUUCAUCUUCUUCUUUUUUUUCAUCCGUCAGACGUAGACUUCCUAUGUUCCCCAUCAGGAUUCAGAUUGUAUGUUUUUAUCCAUUGACUAUAUGCUUAUUUAUUUUUUUUUUAUUAAAUCUGUGGAUGUGCCUUAGGUGUUUCUAAAAAACAUAUACAUCAUUACGGGGCCCUAAUGUAGAAAUCACACAUUCAGUAUUGAUUA